UACAGAGGGGGCAAGCGUUAUUCGGAAUUAUUGGGCGUAAAGGGCGCGUAGGCGGCCUGGCAAGUGACGGGUGAAAGCCCUCGGCUCAACCGAGGAACUGCCUGUCAUACUGCCGGGCUUGAGUCCGGGAGAGGUGAGUGGAAUUCCCAGUGUAGCGGUGAAAUGCGUAGAUAUUGGGAGGAACACCAGUGGCGAAGGCGGCUCGCUGGGACGGUACUGACGCUGAGGCGCGAAAGCGUGGGGAGCAAACAGG
rnacentral:rRNA from 1 species